CCUACGGGAGGCAGCAGUGAGGAAUAUUGGUCAAUGCCGGAAGGCUGAACCAGCCAAGCCGCGUGAAGGACGAAGGUGCCAAGCAUUGUAAACUUCUUUUGUCAAGGGACAAAAUCAGGCUCGAGAGCCUGACCGAGGGAACUGGAAGAAAAGGCACCGGCUAACCCCGUGCAAGCAGCUGCGGUAAUACGGAGGAGGAGAGCGUUAUCAGGAUUUAUUGGGGUGAAGGGGCGCGUAGGCGGACUGUUAAGUCAGCGGUAAAGGCCCGGGGCUCACCCCCGGCGUGCCGUUGAAACUGGCUGUCUUGAGAUGUCGAGAGGUAUGCGGAAUGCGCAGUGUAGCGGUGAAAUGCUUAGAUAUUGCGCAGAACUCCGAUUGCGAAGGCAGCAUACCGGCGGCGAUCUGACGCUGAGGCACGAAAGCGUGGGUAUCGAACAGGAUUAGAUACCCUGGUAGUC
rnacentral:rRNA from 1 species